GACGAACGCUGGCGGCGCGCUUAACACAUGCAAGUCGAGCGAGAACCAGACCUUCGGGUCUGGGGACAGCGGCGAACGGGUGAGUAACACGUGGGUAAUCAACCCUCGGUACUGGGAUAGCCCGGGGAAACCCGGAAUAAUACCGGAUGGCCCUUCGGAUCUUCGGUUCUGAAGGAAAAGGUAGCUUCGGCCUCCGCACGAGGACGAGCCCGCGGCGGAUUAGCUUGUUGGUGGGGUAACGGCCUACCAAGGCGGCGAUCCGUAGCUGGUCUGAGAGGACGAUCAGCCACACUGGGACUGAGACACGGCCCAGACUCCUACGGGAGGCAGCAGUGGGGAAUCAUGCGCUAAUGCGGGAAACCGUGACGCAGCGACGCCGCGUGAGGGAAGAAGGCCUUCGGGUUGUAAACCUCUUUCAGGAGGGACGAAGCUACUCGGGUUAAUAGCCCAGAGGGUGACGGUACCUCCAGAAGAAGCCCCGGCUAACUACGCGCCAGCCGCCGCCGUAACAC
rnacentral:rRNA from 1 species